ACUAAUAUUCUCAAAAUUGGCAUAACAAAAGCUAAUCAGUUCAUACACCUGGUUUUUAGACAUCUUAGCUAAUACCCAAUGCCCCUAGGGUAGUAAAAGACCCAUGGACUAGGAAUUAUUCUAUCUCCCAGUACAAGUGGUAGAUUAGAUGGUGCGACAAUUGCAUUGAUAAGAGACAAGUUGUUGUCUCUGUUGAUAUAAAAAACUAUACUCACUACAGUUCCUUCAUCGUUAUUCCAUUUACGCGCUACGCACAGAAGCACAUACGUGUUUCAAGGUGCUUGUUAACAGUAAACACCGACGAAAAUGAGAAAAGUGUUCAGAUGUACAGAUUAUUAUUGGAAUAGUGAUGAAAUAUAUAACUUCCUCUGCAAAUAAUGGCAAAACUACGGACUGUGAUUUAGGAGACGAGGAGGAGACAUAUUCUGCUAGAUUGAGCUGCCGACAGCUUAGAGCAGAAGUAGAACUCAUGAUUUGUAGGCAAAAAAUUUUAUCGUAGGCAUAAAAUGAAACCUAGGAGGGCUUCUACGUUUCAUACUACUUUGAAUGGACCCCCCUUGAUAACCUGUCGCCAAGCAAGAUGCUCGCUUUGUCAAAAUAAAACAACUAAGGCAUGUGGAAGUCGUAAAUUUCCACUACAUGAUAAUUGUUUUGACGAAUUUCAUGAAUUUGAUUUUUUCUUCUUAUUUUCACUUCAAAUUAUAUGAAUAAAAUAAUA